UACGUAGGGGGCAAGCGUUGUCCGGAUUUAUUGGGCGUAAAGAGCGUGUAGGCGGCCAAACAGGUCCACUGUGAAAACUCGAGGCUCAACCUCGAGAGGUCGGUGGAAACCGUCUGGCUAGAGUCCGGAAGAGGAGAGUGGAAUUCCCGGUGUAGCGGUGAAAUGCGCAGAUAUCGGGAAGAACACCCGUGGCGAAGGCGGCUCUCUGGGACGGUACU
rnacentral:rRNA from 1 species